rnacentral:rRNA from 1 species
UACGUAGGGGGCAAGCGUUGUCCGGAUUUAUGGGGCGUAAAGAGCGUGUAGGCGGCCAGGUAGGUCGGUUGUGAAAACUCGAGGCUCAACCUCGAGAUGUCGACCGAAACCAUCUGGCUAGAGUCCGGAAGAGGAGAAUGGAAUUCCCGGUGUAGCGGUGAAAUGCGCAGAUAUCGGGAAGAACACCCGUGGCGAAGGCGGGUCUCUGGACAGUUCCUGACACUGAGACACGAAGGCCAGGGGAGCAAACGGG